UACAGAGGUGCCAAGCGUUAGGCGGAAUCACUGGGCUUAAAGCGCGCGUAGGCGGACGUUUAAGUGUCUUGUGAAAUCCCACGGCUCAACCGUGGAACUGCUGGGCAUACUGGACGUCUCGAGGCACUCAGGGGCGAGCGGAACAAGUGGUGGAGCGGUGAAAUGCGUAGAUAUCUGGAGGAACACCGGUGGCGAAGGCGACGUCCUGGACCGGUAUUGACGCUGAGGCGCGAAAGCCAGGGGAGCAAACGGG
rnacentral:rRNA from 1 species